rnacentral:rRNA from 1 species
AACGCGAAGAACCUUACCAGGUCUUGACAUCCAAAGAAUCCUGUAGAAAUACGGGAGUGCCUUCGGGAGCUUUGAGACAGGUGGUGCAUGGUUGUCGUCAGCUCGUGUCGUGAGAUGUUGGGUUAAGUCCCGCAACGAGCGCAACCCUUGCUAUUAGUUGCUAACGCGUGAAGGCGAGCACUCUAAUGGGACUGCCCGUGACAAGCGGGAGGAAGGUGGGGAUGACGUCAAAUCAUCAUGCCCUUUAUGAUCUGGGCUACACACGUGCUACAAUGGGCGGUACAGAGAGCAGCGAUACUGUGAAGUGGAGCGAAUCUCAAAAAGCCGUUCUCAGUUCGGAUUGCAGGCUGCAACUCGCCUGCAUGAAGUCGGAAUCGCUAGUAAUCGCGAAUCAGCACGUCGCGGUGAAUCCGUUCCCGGGUCUUGUACACACCG